GAUGAACGCUGGCGGUAUGCCUAACACAUGCAAGUCGUACGAGAGUUUUUAACUCUAGUGGCGGACGGGUGAGUAACACGUGAGAAUUUGCCUUUAGGAGGGGGAUAACAAAUGGAAACGUUUGCUAAUACCUUAUACUCCUUAUUAACUAAAGUUGGUAAGGGAAAGAUUUAUUGGUAAGAGAUUGGCCUGUAUUGUAUCAGUUAGUUGGUGGGGUAAUGGCCUACCAAGACUAUGACGCAUAACUGGUUUGAGAGGAUGAUCAGUCACACUGGAACUGAGACACGGUCCAGACUCCUACGGGAGGCAGCAGUGGGGAAUAUUGCACAAUGGACGAAAGUCUGAUGCAGCAACGCCGCGUGGAGGAUGGACACAUUUCGGUGCGUAAACUCCUUUUAUAUAAGAAGAUAAUGACGGUAUUAUAUGAAUAAGCACCGGCUAACUCCGUG
rnacentral:rRNA from 1 species